rnacentral:rRNA from 1 species
UGUUGAAGAUUAAGCCAUGCAUGUGUAAGUAUAAAGACCUAGUAGGAUGAAACUGCGGACGGCUCAUUACAACAGUUAUAGUUUCUUUGGUUAGUAACAAAAGGAUAACUCUGUUAAUUGUAGAGCUAAUACUUGAGACUUUCCACUUUCUUUCGAGACUGUGGCGACCACAUCACGAUGUGGUUUAGAAUUAUUCCAUUCUGAAUGCUGGAAUAAGGACAAUUGUAGAAUCCUGGGGAUUUUUCAAGUAACCAAUGAGAAUUUCUGACUUAUCAACCUGUAGGUAAGGUAGUGGCUUACCUUGGUGAUCACGAGUAACGAGAAAUAAGGGUUUGACAUCGGAGAGGGAGCCUUCAAAAUGGCUACCACUUCCAAGGAAGGCAGCAGGCGCGAAAAUUACCCACUUGGGACUCCCAGAGGUAGUGAAGACAAAUAACUAAAUUCUGUCCACUGGAUAGAGUUUAAGGGAUGAGCUAGACGUUAACACUCUAGCGAAAGCGAUUGGAGGGCAAGUCUGGUGCCAGCAGCCGCGGUAAUUCCAGCUCCAAUAGUGUAUAUUAAAGUUGUUGUGAUUAAAAAGCUCGUAGUUGAAUUUGACGAGAACUUAGGAUCUUUUGCUCUGCACGCAGAGGAGAAGAGGCCUUCAAUAGUUCUAAACAAGCUGCACUCUGCCUCUUCGGAGACAGGUGAAGAUAUUUACUUUGAAUAAAUAUGAGUGUUUAAAGCAAAGCAUUAGCUAAUUAAAUAUGAAGCAUGGGAUAAUAGAGAGGAGAUUUCAAUCUGCGUACAGAUUGUACAAGGAAGGAAUUUCUAUAUAAGGAUUAAUAGAAAGAGAUGGGGUGAUUUAUACGGAAAUGGGAGAGGUGAAAAUCCAUGAUCAUUUUAGGAUAAACUGAAGCGAAAGCAUUUCACUUAAAUCUUUUCAUUAAUCAAGAACGAAAGUUAGGGGAUCGAAGACGAUUAGAUACCGUCGUAGUCCUAACUAUAAACGAUGUCAACGAAGGAUUGGAUUGAACCAUGGCCGGAGGUUGAAGAACCAAGCGGCAGUAUACUUCAGUUCAGGACUUGAGGGGAAACCUUUAGUUAAUGGACUUCAGGGGGAGUAUGCUCGCAAGGGUGAAACUUAAAGGAAUUGACGGAAGGGCACACCAGGAGUGGAGCCUGCGGCUUAAUUUGACUCAACACGGGAAAACUUACCAAGACCAGACAUUAAGAGGAGUGACAGAGUAAGGGAACUUUCAUGAUUUGAUGGAGAGUGGUGCAUGGCCGUUCUUAGUUGGUGGAGUGAUUUGUCAGGUUUAUUCCGAUAACGAACGAGACUUCAAUCUUUAAUUAGAUUGCACAGCAUUUAUGUUGUGUGAGCCAGCAAUGGCCCUCAAUGAGGUCUUCUUAAAGAGACUCUUGGCAAUUUUCUGGACUUCAGACCUACCCAAUGGGAGGCUCUGGAGCUAGAAGAAGCUAAGGGAAGAGAAGCAAUAACAGGUCUGUGAUGCCCUUAGACAUCUUGGGCUGCACGCGUGCUACAAUAUCUAUUUUCAAGAGUACUUUUAGCAGUGUAUAGGGCAUGUUUGGCUCUCACGAGCCGAGUGCGCCAACUAGCACUGUGUACCUUCUCCGAAAGGAGCGGGAAAACUCGUAAGAUAGAUGUAACAGGGAUUAAUGAUUGGAAUUAUUUGUUAUGUAACGAGGAAUUCCUUGUAAAAUUUUGUCACUAGCGAAAGUUGAAUACGUCCCUGCCCUUUGUACACACCGCCCGUCGCUCCUACCGAUUGAAUAAAAAGAUGAAGGUUUAGGAGGAAUCUACAACGUAGAACCAAAUGGAUCUGAAUCUCUUUAUUUAGAGG